UACGUAGGGUGCAAGCGUUGUCCGGAAUUAUUGGGCGUAAAGAGCUCGUAGGCGGUCUGUCGCGUCUGCUGUGAAACUCAGGGCUUAACCCUGAGCUUGCAGUGGGUACGGGGCAGACUAGAGUGCGGUAGGGGAGAACUGGAAUUCCUGGUGUAGCGGUGAAAUGCGCAGAUAUCAGGAGGAACACCGGUGGCGAAGGCGGGUCUCUGGGCCGUAACUGAACGCUGGAGGAAGCGGAAAGCAUGGGGAGCGAACAGG
rnacentral:rRNA from 1 species